CAUCGGGUGGCGCAAUGGUAGCGCCUUACUUCCCGGUCGCUGGUAAAGGUUUUGGGUUCGAGUUCCAGUCCGACCG